AGAGUUUGAUCCUGGCUCAGAACGAACGCUGGCGGCGUGGAUAAGACAUGCAAGUCGAACGAGAGAAUUGCUAGCUUGCUAAUAAUUCUCUAGUGGCGCACGGGUGAGUAACACGUGAGUAACCUGCCCCCGAGAGCGGGAUAGCCCUGGGAAACUGGGAUUAAUACCGCAUAGUAUCGAAAGAUUAAAGCAGCAAUGCGCUUGGGGAUGGGCUCGCGGCCUAUUAGUUAGUUGGUGAGGUAACGGCUCACCAAGGCGAUGACGGGUAGCCGGUCUGAGAGGAUGUCCGGCCACACUGGAACUGAGACACGGUCCAGACACCUACGGGUGGCAGCAGUCGAGAAUCAUUCACAAUGGGGGAAACCCUGAUGGUGUGACGCCGCGUGGGGGAAUGAAGGUCUUCGGAUUGUAAACCCCUGUCAUGUGGGAGCAAAUUAAAAAGAUAGUACCACAAGAGGAAGAGACGGCUAACUCUGUGCCAGCAGCCGCGGUAAUACAGAGGUCUCAAGCGUUGUUCGGAAUCACUGGGCGUAAAGCGUGCGUAGGCUGUUUCGUAAGUCGUGUGUGAAAGGCGCGGGCUCAACCCGCGGACGGCACAUGAUACUGCGAGACUAGAGUAAUGGAGGGGGAACCGGAAUUCUCGGUGUAGCAGUGAAAUGCGUAGAUAUCGAGAGGAACACUCGUGGCGAAGGCGGGUUCCUGGACAUAACUGACGCUGAGGCACGAAGGCCAGGGGAGCGAAAGGGAUUAGAUACCCCUGUAGUCCUGGCAGUAAACGGUGCACGCUUGGUGUGCGGGGAAUCGACCCCCUGCGUGCCGGAGCUAACGCGUUAAGCGUGCCGCCUGGGGAGUACGGUCGCAAGAUUAAAACUCAAAGAAAUUGACGGGGACCCGCACAAGCGGUGGAGUAUGUGGCUUAAUUCGAUGCAACGCGAAGAACCUUACCUGGGCUUGACAUGUAAUGAACAACAUGUGAAAGCAUGCGACUCUUCGGAGGCGUUACACAGGUGCUGCAUGGCCGUCGUCAGCUCGUGUCGUGAGAUGUUUGGUUAAGUCCAGCAACGAGCGCAACCCCUGUUGCCAGUUACCAGCACGUGAAGGGGGGGACUCUGGCGAGACUGCCCAGAUCAACUGGGAGGAAGGUGGGGACGACGUCAGGUCAGUAUGGCCCUUAUGCCCAGGGCUGCACACGUACUACAAUGCCCAGUACAGAGGGGGCCGAAGCCGCGAGGCGGAGGAAAUCCUGAAAACUGGGCCCAGUUCGGACUGUAGGCUGCAACCCGCCUACACGAAGCCGGAAUCGCUAGUAAUGGCGCAUCAGCUACGGCGCCGUGAAUACGUUCCCGGGUCUUGCACUCACCGCCCGUCA
rnacentral:rRNA from 1 species